CGUAGGUGGCAAGCGUUGUCCGGAUUUUAUCGGGUUUAAAGGGUGCGUAGGCGGUUCUGUAAGUCAGUGGUGAAAUCCGGCAGCUCAACUGUCGAUGUGCCAUUGAUACUGCAGAACUUGAGUACAGACGAGGUAGGCGGAAUUGACGGUGUAGCGGUGAAAUGCUUAGAUAUCGUCAAGAACACCGAUAGCGAAGGCAGCUUACUAGACUGUAACUGACGCUGAUGCACGAAAGUGUGGGGAUCAAACAGGAUUAGAUACCCUGGUAGUCCACACUGUAAACGAUGAUUACUCGAUGUUAGCGAUACACAGUUAGCGUCUUAGCGAAAGCGAUAAGUAAUCCACCUGGGGAGUACGCCGGCAACGGUG
rnacentral:rRNA from 1 species